GUGUUCAAGCAAGGAGAGAGGACUGGAGUUUGGAGGUGUGUUGCUGAGAACUGAAAGACCAGAGGAAGGGACACCCUGCCCCAAGCAUCCAGGACUGAGGCAGGUGGAGUAAGCCAAAGGUGUGGAUCUCUGCUGGGCACACAUUGGACAAGAGGGAGAAGGUGCUUGUAGACCAGGAACAGCUCCUGCAGGGGGAGAGAAGAUGCUGCUGUAACAGCAGCAAAUCAAGAGGAACUACAAAAGACUAAUGCCAAAUUCCAGGCAUCUAGAAAAAAAUUGGUAGCAGCUGACAGAGAAGCAAGAGAGCCCAACUGCAGCCAGCAUGCUUGGUAUCAAACUCAUAUCAAUACUUAUUUGACUAAUACCAUGGAGAUUGGGGCUGCUCUCCAUGAUGCUCUUCUUGUUUUCUAUAUGCUACAGUCUACAUGCUGCUUUUGAUAAGCAGGUUACCUUGAUGAUGGUUGGGCCAAAGAGGCAGAUACUGCUUUUUCCCUUGUUUGUCCUUGGAUUCUCCUUCUGGUCAUGGGCUAUUGAAGUGGGUAUUGUUACCUUUCCUGAUGGUAAUAGACACCAACUGGAACAAGGCCACCCAGCAUUAUUAUUUGUGGCUCAAUCUAAAGAAAAAUAUUACAGAUGAACUGGCAUGGAAGUAAUGCCUGCCGGCAUGGGUGCCUUAGUCAACCAAUGCAUCAAGAUCGAUGAUCACCUGACAAAACGCUGCCAAGAAAAAAGAUGGUUCUCCUGGUUCCACCAGCCCUGCCAACUCUAGACUAUGGCAUCAAAUUACACAGAUUGCACAGUGAUGUUUGAAUAUCAAAACUAGCAAUGAAAAGUUUACAAAGAACUCAUAGGCCAAAAUAUAUUAGUAAAACCCAUUCACCAAACAAUUAAAAAGCGCAAACAAAAAUGUAAAAACAAAUGUGAUCACUUUUCAGACAAUAAGCAGUUAGAAGAAAGGUCCAAAUCCAGCAAAUUUGUUUGUAAUAAAUAGUAACAAAAGAAAAGACAAAAGACAAAUAAUUACACUGGUUUUAUAAACAAAUAGGUUGACAGUCCUCAGAAGAUAAUUAAAAUGGGCUUACUUUUUCAAUUUUAUUAGCAUGCAAAUAAAAUUCAUUAAGACUGAUCUCUCGCAUUGAUACAAGCUGUAAGAAAAUGAAGGUAGAAUGAAAAUGAUGCAAUCUGAUGGAAAUCUUGGUGCUUUUAUAAAUUAACAGCAAAUCUAAGUUGAUCCAGCUAACAGCAAAGCUUGUACCUCUGUGACUUACCUGACUUGAAUAGGUGAAAUAAAGACAAAGAGGUGAUAUAAA